rnacentral:rRNA from 1 species
UACGUAGGGUGCAAGCGUUGUCCGGAAUUAUUGGGCGUAAAGAGUUCGUAGGCGGUUUGUCGCGUCUGCUGUGAAAGACCGGGGCUCAACUCCGGUUCUGCAGUGGGUACGGGCAGACUAGAGUGAUGUAGGGGAGACUGGAAUUCCUGGUGUAGCGGUGAAAUGCGCAGAUAUCAGGAGGAACACCGAUGGCGAAGGCAGGUCUCUGGGCAUUAACUGACGCUGAGGAGCGAAAGCAUGGGGAGCGAACAGG